GGGUUUCUCUGCCACCACUGUAACAGCCCCUUUGUUGUGAUUUUCCAGCUUUGUCAAGGAGCGUUUCGAAGCUUUGGCUGAUUCCCCAUCCCUGUCAAUCAUAAGAAAGAUACUGCUGUUUCACGUACGGUAGGAUCUCCAUGGUAGAUGACUUGACCCAUGAAGUCAGUGAAGAAGACGGCCUCAGCAAUGAUGGAGAACCAGGUGAGCAGGUGACAGGCGCACAGUCGCAGCAGCUCUGGAGGCAUCUUCAGCAUGGAGAGCCACAGCAGCCGCACCGUGGUCUCAACCUAAAGACAGCAGACCAAGUCAGACAAUACCCACCCAAAAAGACACACUUAACUGUGAAAUGUGGAAGUUCUAGAGGAGUCAUGGUUGUAAGGUUGGCGAGUUCCUUCUCACCUCUCCCUCUUCGCUCUCUGUAUCCCCACUGGAGGAGUUAGUGUUUCCGCUGCGGUGUCUGUUUCUCUGUCUUUGCCUUCUUCUGUGUCUGGCCUCCACUUCGCACAGGUCGUUCAUGCUGCGAGACGGCUUGAUGAGAUAAGCGGCGUUGGCCUGGCGGUAGCGGUGGCUCCCCACUCGGCCGUAGUAGGAGAAGGUGCAGGACGGCUGGCGGUAGAAGAUGUGACGGUGACGUGACUGCCGCAUGGGGGCUCCGGUACUGGCAGCUGGAAUAAGAGACAGAUCAACAUUAAGUGAUGGUUUAUUAUUAUUAUUCAAAGGUUCAGAAACCUUAAAGACACUAAGAAUAAGGUAGCACAUUUUCCCAUUUUCUUUGUACACUUGGCACGGGAUUUCCCAAAAUUACUUCUCCUCAGUGAUGCUGCUACCAUAAAGGGUGAAUCAAUUAUUUAAAAUACAUUGUUGUAAUCAGCAAGAUUCAAUACAAAAACGUCAGUUAAAAGUAAAAAAAAGAAAAAAUUAAUAAUGAUCAUAUCAGUUAAAAUAGCAAUAAAAAGAUUGGAUAGCCCAUUAAUAAUUAAAAUGUUUGAAUGAAUACUAUUUUUUAUCCCAUUGAAUCUAUAAUUGUGAAAAUGAAACAUAACGUGAAUGUACCAACCUUUGACCAUUCCAGCACGAUGAGCCUGUCCCUUGGAGCUCAAAUUGUUGGUGUCAGGGUUCGUCACACUGGCUAACAGCCGCCCAUUCAGUGUCCGCUGCUCAUUGAGCUGGUUGUUCAGCAACGCCUCCUGACCAUCGUCAUUUUCCAUUUCCUGUAAGAAAGCUGAAAGGCGGGAAAUUCUGGGACUGGUGGUUUGUGUUUGGUGAUUGUUGGCUUGGAGCAGGUCCUGACUUCCUGCACUGCUGCUGCGUCUGAUUUCGUCAAACCGGAUUGGCGGAGUGCUGCAGUUUGGGUUGAAGAAGUUACCAGGCGCAGGAGGCGAGCCGUGAUAGGGUGAGAGGCGGUCAGCAAAGAUGGACGGCUCUAGGUGGCACAGGUACAACGCAUCGUGGUCCAGGUGGUCGAGAGUGGCGUCUGCCAUGGCGAGAACACUGUCACUUUUACCUGGAGACAGACGAAGAGAGAUUAGUUUAGAUGUGGUUUAUUUGAUGUGAUCUGAGACCUAGCAAAUAUUGACCUAACAGACACACUUGUAUGUAUCACUACAUCCACUUGCAUAUACAGUAUAUAUAUAUAUUUAUAAUACGGAUAGAUGAAAUCAAGCAUUCUGAUUGGUUGAGAGUGAGUCACGGGGUGUACUCUAUUGAGCCAUAAAGUCCUGUACACCUGUUUACAUUUAUCUGAGCGUUCCAUAUCAGUGCGCACUCAAAAUAACAGGUAGAUUUUGCGCGGCCGUUAGUUUAAUUUCAAGCUUGACAGUUACCAAACACGUUUCAAGUGAACUUCGAUAUUUUGAUGAGUGGUUAGCCGAAGAGGAACUUCAGGUGGACGUGAUGCAACCAUAGAUAAGAAAGACAUUGAGACCUAUGAAAUGUUGCACAACGAAAAAAAGCUCCCUUCAAAGCUACUGGGCACCAAAUAUACAUGAAAGACAGCGUUGGAGUGAUAAUAAUAAUAAUAAUAAUAUCCUUCUGGAGAAGCACUUCACCAGCAAGCAAAGAGAGCGAGAGUGGUCGGAAGCGAUAUCAUCAGAGACGAAGGGGACAUGAGAAACAUUUUCCACGGAUGCACAACCUUGAAAACAAAGGACCACCAGGUAUUACCCUCCCUUCAAUUCCUUUGGAUUUGAAGGUUCAGCAAAAGAAGCACUCACUUCUCACAAGCUCCAUCUCUCGGAAGUCCAUGUCCAUAUCCCCAUGCUCAGACAGGUUGUCUCCAUAGGGGUCAUAGAGGUCGAAGCUGUCCAUCGUUUCAUCCUCUCCAAUCAAUUCAAGCUUGGGGCCGAGAUGUCCGGGCCUGCCAUUGGUGGAUGCUUGCAGUUUGGUGCGAUCCGGACUCUCCUGGGCUGCUCCUUGAUACUGAAGAGAUGCAACACCACAGAGACGGAGAAGAGGAUGGCAGCGAAGAAGAACAGGAUCUGCUCCUGGGACUUGAAGGCUGCUCCUAGGAAGGUGUGCG